rnacentral:lncRNA from 1 species
UUUAGAUAUUAAAAUAGUCUUUAUUCAGUAACAAAGUGUGUUCUUGCUUGGAUUAAAAGAAGUGUUUUGCUUUUUUUCAGUUACAGAACAGCUUUUUAAUAUAACAAGACUUAACUUGGGUGAACUGUGUCAGUUCAGGUAUUGAGAACAUAAUCUCUACAAGGAUAUUACAUCAUGAGUUUGAGGUCUCUUUCGGAUUUGAGGUUCCAAUUAAAACCGUGUUUGGGCCAUUGCUUUGCCUGCCAGUGCUUAAUCUUCUCCGAAAGCCUCAUCACUUAUCUAAAACAAAAGAAGAACGAGUUAUUCUUCUGCUGUGCAGCAAAAGGAAUACAGUACAUUUCAACCUACAGAAAGAACCUGUAUGUGGAGGGCUCUUUUUAUCUGAGGUGGUGGCACACCAUUGUUAGACGUAGAAGCAAGGCAUGUUUAUGCCAGCCAUGUGGCUUUAGUCAUGCUUAUGCCUGAUAUUAGCAUGGUGCUGCUUCUCUGUAUUUGAAAUGUCCUCUGCAUAAAAAUUUCCAUCACAGCUGCCUCAGCCAGUUGACAGAAUGUUCCACCUGAGGGUGCAGAUGUGCAGCUCCCAGAGCCGAGAUGGAUGGCUCCUUUCAGCACUAGAAGAAAAUGAGCCUGUAUCCCAGCCAUAAACUGAAAGAUGUUAUCAGAGAUGAGGUUCACCAGUUCUUAGGAAGAAAGGGGCUCCUUUUUUACACUGAUAAAUUCCUAUUCUUGAUGUAGUCUACAUACCUGAAGCCACACUACGAAGAGUAUCUUUCUACAUGGAAAUGAAUGAUAAUAGUUUAUUGGAUAUCUUCAGUAGACAGCAAGCAGAGAAUGGUAGUAGAAAAUUCUGUAAUAAGCAGAUCAGCUUCUGUAUAAAAUUAAAUAAUCA